rnacentral:rRNA from 1 species
AUUGAACGCUGGCGGCAUGCCUUACACAUGCAAAUCGAACGGUAACGGGCCUUCGGGUGCCGACGAGUGGCGAACGGGUGAGUAAUACAUCGGAGCGUGCCCGAUCGUGGGGGAUAACGAGGCGAAAGCUUUGCUAAUACCGCAUACGAUCUACGGAUGAAAGCAGGGGACCGCAAGGCCUUGCGCGGACGGAGCGGCCGAUGGCAGAUUAGGUAGUUGGUGGGAUAAAAGCUUACCAAGCCGACGAUCUGUAGCUGGUCUGAGAGGAUGAUCAGCCACACUGGGACUGAGACACGGCCCAGACUCCUACGGGAGGCAGCAGUGGGGAAUUUUAGACAAUGGGCGCAAGCCUGAUCCAGCCAUGCCGCGUGCAGGAUGAAGGCCUUCGGGUUGUAAACUGAUUUUGUACGGAACGAAAAGCCUUCUUUUAAUACAGGAGGGUCAUGACGGUACCGUAAGAAUAAGCACCGGCUAACUACGUG